AUGGUCCUCCUCCGCUACGGCGUCACCUACCUCAUCCAGCAUCCACCACCACCCAACGCCGACAGCCACUACCACGAGCUUGACACCCAUGUCGUCCUCGCCAUGUACGCCACCCUUCCCGAUCAGAUCAUCGACCAUGUGAUCGGCGCCACCACCACCUAUGCCCUCUGGACUCGGAUCUAGGAGUACUUCCUUGCCAAUCGUGCGGCCCGAUACAUGAUUCUCAAUCGGCAGUACCGCAAUCUCAAGCAGGGUGACCUUUCCGUCGACGAGUACGCGUGCCGUAUGAAGCUCAUCACCGCCGGCCUCGUGGACAUUGAUCAUGUCGUGACCGAGGUCGACCUUACCUCGCAGUUUCUCCACGGCCUCGACGGGCGCUUCGACACCAUCCGUGUGGUUCUGGGGGACACCGUUCCCUUGCCACCUUUCGAGACGGUAUUCUCGCGC
rnacentral:rRNA from 1 species